UCUAAGACUAUAUAAAAGAAGAAUUGAACAACACUGAGGGGUUCUAAUACUUUUGUCAGUUCCUGUAGAGUAUCAAAGAGCAAAUCAAGCAAAGCAUUAAAAAUUUCCAUUUCAAUCCUCAGCUAAAAGCACUCAAGAAUGGUUGAGAAAAAAAACAAAAAACUGCCUGUGACCCUUCAUGAGCCCAGAUCUUAGUCUUACUGAACAUAUGAGGGAAUAUUUGAAAGUUGCAGUGUGAAGAUGCCACCCUUCAAACCUCAGGAAGAGGGGUCCAAGCUACCUAUUGGCAAACAGACAUCACAUUUUGAUGCCCAGAGAACAUUUGUUGGCAGUGAUUCCUGCGAAGGAUCUUGCUACAGUUUAUAAAUUACAAUAAUAUCCAGCUCAGCAAAGCACAGACAGAUUUUUGUUAAAUAUGGAAUAAACAAACAACUGACAAAUGGCUAGAAAAUCCUGUCCUUAAGACUUGGAAUUUUCUCUGUCCACCAGAUGUCCACUGUUACAUCUAGUGUAAAACCAACAAGGCAUUUUAUCAAACGAACAUCAUACAGACAAUCAUGCAUGGUUUGACUCAGAUCCUGGACAACUUGGACCCAUGCAUUCAACCCUCAACCAGAAAAUCCAUCUAUCAUUUUGUGACCUUAGAGCACACUUGGGUAAUGCAGCAGAAUAAUGAUCCAAGGCACCAACAAAUCUACCCCUGAAUGGCUCAAACAAUAAAUGACGGUUUCAUGUGGCCUAGUCAAAGCCCAGACUUAAAUCCAACUGAGAUGUUGUGGCAUGACAAUAAACAGGUAAUUCCUGAUUAACACUGUGGCAAUGUCCCUAAAUUAAAACAAUUUUGCAAAGAGGAAUGGAACCAAAAUUCCUUCACAGUGAUUUAGACUCCCACUGCCGCAACUGCCACUGCUUGAUGGCAGUUGUUGCCACCAAAGGUGGCACAACCAAUUAUUACGUUUAGGGAGAAAUUGCUUUUUCAUGUAGGGCCAGAAUGUUUGGGACAGCAUUUUCCCUUAAUAAAUUAAAUUAAAAAAACCAGUAUAAAUCUGGGGGUUAAAUACUUUCAAAGCUCCGCCAAAGGAAAAGAAAAAAGGUGGAAAAAAUGAUAAGAUGUUUUUUUCUCCAAGCUGCAGCAUUCAGCCAGUGUCAAACAAAUCAAAAAGCACAGAUCAGCUGCAAGUCAAGUCCAACUGUUGCUGGGGGCUGGCUGACAUGGAGCACUGAUUUGGGUGGAGUGGCAACUAAACGUCCAGCUCAGGGAGACGGGAGGUGGAAGAGGGACUGCAGAAAGGCAAUACAGGAGAUAGAAAGGAUCAGACUGGAGUGUUGGGUGAGGGACUGAGUGAUGUUUGGCCAAGGCCUGAGGAAAUAUCAUAUGCGGCUUCUCCAUGCGAGAAGGUAACCCCGGGCUGAGGCAGCCUCCUAGCCCACAGGCCUCAGGAAAUGCUGAUGGAUACACAUACAUAAGCCUGCACAGGCACACACACAUCCACAAUGACACACAGACACUGAAAGAUGAAGACAAGCAUGAAAAGCAAUUUCUCAGCCUAAGUCCCUUUUGCCAACACACACACACACACACACACACACACACACACUCAUUGAUUAAUCCAUACUGGCAAGAACAAACACAGUAGUGGAGUGUCCAUUUUAUUAGCUGAGUGUUGAAACAGGAGGGCUCCAUUCAAACUAAGCUCAACAUGUCACAAUUGGUUCAAUAUCAUAGUGUUCUGCACAGGUAGAUCUAAAACAAGUAUUGAUGAUUUCUAUAAUUAUCUUCAGAUAACACUAAGCAACUGACAGAGAUAAAUUCAUUCAAACUCCAUACUGUAUCAUUCAUUAUAAACCCUCAAAAUCUAGUGCUCUGUAAAAAUAUUCAAUCCCCUUGAACUUUUACAAACAGACUAGUAUUUUUUUAUGAUCUUAUGUGACCAACACAAAGUAGUGCCUAAUUGUGAUGCAGAAGAAAAAUAUUCAUUCUGUUUUUGCUCAGUCAGAUUGGAUGGAGAGCAUCUUUAGACAUCAGUUAUCAGGUCUUGUAAAAGAUUCUCUGCUGGAUUAAGUAUGAACUUUGACUGGACCAUUCUACUACAGGAAUAGACUUUGAUCUAAACCAUUCUCCUCUUACUAGAGUGUAUGGUUACUGCUGUUGUCCUGCUGGAAGGUGAAUCUCCAACUCAGGCUCAAAUCUUUUGCAGCCUCUAGCAGGUUUUCUACCAGAACCUGCUAGAACAAUUUCCCUGUAUCUACUGACAAAAGCAUCCCCACAGAAUGAUGCUGCCUCUUCUAUGUUUCACCAUGUGGAUGAUGUGCUUAGGGUGAUGUGUGGUGUUAGUUCCUCCCAGGUAGCAUUUGCAUGGCCACCAAAAGGUUUACACUUUAAAAUAGAGUUUUCUUUCCAAGGUUGGCUUUCUUCUUGUCACUCUACCAAAAAGACCAGAUUUGAGAAGAGCUUGGCUAUUAGUUGACAUUUUAACAGUUUCUAUCACCUGAGUUGUGGAUCUCUGCAGCUUCUCUAGAGUUACCAGAGGUUUGCAGUUGUGCCACGCAGUGACUGCAGAACAACGCUCUGUCAGAUGUUUAGAGCUUGAAAGAUUGUUUUAAAAUCUAACUGUCGUGGUUGGCACACGGCUUGGUAUUGUGUGUGUGUGUGUGUAUGUGUUUUGUUUUUUGUAGGUGCUGGAGUGCUGGUGGAGGUGACAGGUGUUCCCUAUCUUCGCUGAUGAGCUUCGGUGUAUUUAAGCAGCAGGCAGCCAGCAUCUCACCGCUCGAGUGUUAGGCUUCAUUGAUCGUGACUACCUGGAUAUUACCCAGGCUGGAUCGUUGUACUGCUUUGUUAAGCUCACUUUGUCUCGGACCUUUGGAGUACCUGAGCUUCACAAAUGCCACGUUGUUAUCGUUCUACUGGACUAACUUUGCUGGCUGCCGCCAAGUGCCUCCUGCCUCACACCGAUUCCACAGAACCUGUCCACCCUCCACCGCUCACAAGCGACCCAGCUCUGGCACCAUACUACCAUCCGCUGUUGCACACUCCUGGUUUGGAGCCUUCGUACUCACCGCACAGUGUACUCAUUCCGGUCUGUCUGAAUCCCUCUCCUGGCGGAGAACUCACCCAGCCUACUGGCCCGACGCCCGUGACUGACGGCUCGGUUCUCAAUAAUUCAUCCAGCACUGGGUGUCUGAAGGUCAGGAGAUCAUCGCCUUGGGCUCAAGAGCUGAGGAGAGCUGGGACUGUCAUCAAAUAUUUAUUGACCUGCUGUACUCCCAAUACACUCUCAAAAUACACAAUCUCCCUCACUAAACACAGCACAGACUCACACCCAGCAGCUUCAGCGGGAUAGCCGGGUGGCUUGAUGACGUGUGAAGAUUGCUGGCAAGGGAGGUGGGAGGCAAUGGAGUUUAUGUGGAUAUUUUUGUGUUGUUUUACCUCAGGAGCAUAUGGAUUAUGAGUUAGUGAGUGGGUAACUCAAUGUACAAACUAACAGAAAACUGUGGCAAAGAAAAUAAACAUUACAGGAGCAACUUAAAGAGUGAAACUGCAAAUAUUGAAAGAAAACUCUGUCUUUAAACAUGUUUAAUAAUACUGGUUGCAAUUUAAAUUUCUAUUUUCUAUUUAACACCCAAGUUGGCCAUUUAGGGUUGAAAAGUACUAAUGUACAACUACUACUAUAAAUAUCUACUGCUACUUCUAUUACUACUAGUACCACUACCAAAGCUUCUACUACUAUUACUGCCACUGCACCAUAAGUCAGUAUUUAUUUAUGUUUACAUAUAUGUAUUUAUAUUUUAUACAGUUUACUGUAGACA